rnacentral:miRNA from 1 species
GGAUCGGAAUGCUUCUAAUAGCAC